AUUGCACGCUGGCGGCAGGCCUAACACAUGCAAGUCGAACGAGUGGGGACGGGUGAGUAACACGUGGGUAACCUCCCAUCAGAGGGUAUAACACUUGGAAACAGGUGCUAAACCGAUAUUGAUGGAUGGAUCCGUGGUGCAUUAGAUCGUUGGUGAGGUAACGGCUCACCAAGGCCACGAUGCAUAGCCGACCUGGAAGGGUGAGAGGCAACGCGGGGACGGAGACACGGCCCAGACGCUUACGGGAGGCAGCGGUAGGGAAUCUUCGGCAAUGGACGAAAGUCUGACCGAGCAAAGCCGCGUGAGUGAAGAAGGUUUGCGGAUCGUAAAACUCUGUUGUUAGAGAAGCGGUAUCUAACCAGAAAGCCACGGCUAACUACGUGCCAGCAGCCGCGGUAAUUC
rnacentral:rRNA from 1 species